rnacentral:rRNA from 1 species
UACGUAGGAGGCAAGCGUUUGUCCGGAAUUACUGGGCGUAAAGCGCGUGUAGGUGGUGGGACAAGUCUGCUGUGAAAGCGCCUGGCUUAACCGGGCGAGGUCGGCGGAAACUGUCCGACUCGAGGACGGUAGAGGGGGGUGGAAUUCCCGGGUGUAGUGGUGAAAUGCGUAGAGAUCGGGAGGAACACCUGUGGCGAAGGCGGCCCCCUGG